rnacentral:snRNA from 1 species
AGCUUUGUGCUGUGGCAUUAUUGUAGCCAAUGAGGUUUAUCCGAGGUGUGAGUAUUGCUAAUUGAGAAAUACACAAAGCUAAUGCAUGGAAUCUAAGGCCUCCCCCAUUAAUGCCCCAUUCUUAAAUG